UACGGAGGGUGCAAGCGUUAUCCGGAUUCACUGGGUUUAAAGGGUGCGUAGGCGGACAGGUAAGUCAGUGGUGAAAUCUCCGAGCUUAACUCGGAAACUGCCUUUGAUACUCUCUGUCUUGAAUAUGGUGGAGGUAAGCGGAAUAUGUCAUGUGGCGGUGAAAUGCUUAGAGAUGACAUAGAACACCUAUUGCGAAGGCAGCUUACUACGCCUAUAUUGACGCUGAGGCACGAAAGCGUGGGGAUCAAACAGG
rnacentral:rRNA from 1 species